GACAGAGGGGGCAAGCGUUGCUCGGAAUCACUGGGCGUAAAGGGCGCGUAGGCGGGAUGGCAAGUCAGUCGUGAAAUCUCUCGGCUCAACCGAGAAACGUCGGCUGAUACUGCCGUUCUUGAGGGAUGCAGAGGAGACUGGAAUUCCCGGUGUAGCGGUGAAAUUCGUAGAUAUUGGGAAGAACACCGAUGGCGAAGGCAGCCAUCUGGACCGACACUGACGCUGAGGCGCGAAAGCGUGGGGAGCAAACAGG
rnacentral:rRNA from 1 species